UGGCUUGGAGGCUGUAUAAUAAGCCUAUUUUCUGAGUGCAAGUCAGAUCUUUUAUUUAAAGUACCGAGCC
rnacentral:tRNA from 1 species